rnacentral:lncRNA from 1 species
UUACACAGACUGUGAGAGAGAGUGAGAUUAGAGAUCGAGGGAGGAUCCGACCAUCCAAAUCGGCGGACCUCCGGACAACCUUCAAGUUCGGCACGAUGGCGAUGCAUGUCCGCCCAACCUUCAAAUCGGCAGACAACGACGCAAGGCCGACCAACCUUUAAGUCCGGCACGACGGAGACGCACGGCGGACCGUCCAUAACUUGCAAAUCCUUGUUCGGUAACCAUUAAUACCAAACCUACCCGCAAUCUGGUUGCCGGAGGAUCACGGUACUCUCCAUUGGUUCCGUUCCGUAGCGCCACCCGUUCAGAUCCACCAUUUACGUCGAAGAUACCACAUGUUUAUGCUUUUAUUGAAAGAUUUUGAAAUGGGUUCUAUUUUUCUUUGUUUAUUUAAUAAUUGAUAGGGCUUUUUUUCAAAUCAUAUAUUUUGCUAAUCAAAUAAAUAAUCAUCAGGUUGCAUUUUUAGUUUGUUGAAAAAAUUGUAUUAAUGGUGAGUUUGAUCUCCUGUACAAUGUUUUGAUAAAUUCAUGGUGAAAAUGUCAAGAUUUUGAAUUGUUUACUGGUUGUUUUGGACAUAAGGGAGAAAAAGCUUCAUCUUUCUUUGUUGAUGAUGUUUGCGGUUGGAAAAGGAAACAAUAUGAUCUUGAACGGAUCUGAUUAAGUACGUCGGAGAAAAAAAGGAUAAAGAUUUGUGGGUGUGAAGGAUGCGUGUUUGUAGGUGUGACGGUGGACGGCUGUUGGUGGUUAUGAUAGAGGAACGCACCCGGCGAUUUUUUACGUAAAGGGUGUAUUGGAAAGGUGCCAACAAAUCGACUGGACCAAUACAAAAGUGCCACGUGGACGGAACUCUAAAAUCAAAUAGGUUCCUCGAGUGAAACGUUACGAUGGUGUGUUUAAAGGGAACCGAAGUUGCUUUUUGUAUAGAUAUAUAAUACGACCACAUUACAUCAACCAUCUAAUU